GAUGAACGCUGGCGGCGUGCCUAAUACAUGCAAGUCGAGCGAACAGACGAGGAGCUUGCUCCUCUGACGUUAGCGGCGGACGGGUGAGUAACACGUGGAUAACCUACCUAUAAGACUGGGAUAACUUCGGGAAACCGGAGCUAAUACCGGAUAAUAUAUUGAACCGCAUGGUUCAAUAGUGAAAGACGGCUUUGCUGUCACUUAUAGAUGGAUCCGCGCCGCAUUAGCUAGUUGGUAAGGUAACGGCUUACCAAGGCAACGAUGCGUAGCCGACCUGAGAGGAUGAUCGGCCACACUGGAACUGAGACACGGUCCAGACUCCUACGGGAGGCAGCAGUAGGGAAUCUUCCGCAAUGGGCGAAAGCCUGACGGAGCAACGCCGCGUGAGUGAUGAAGGUCUUCGGAUCGUAAAACUCUGUUAUUAGGGAAGAACAAAUGUGUAAGUAACUAUGCACGUCUUGACGGUACCUAAUCAGAAAGCCACGGCUAACUACGUG
rnacentral:rRNA from 1 species